GCUGGUAGCCUAGUUGGUCAGGACCUCUAGUGCCCUACUAGAAGUUAUGGGUUCGAAUCCCAUUAUUAGCG
rfam:Verticillium longisporum isolate VL1 genome assembly, contig: scaffold_1